rnacentral:rRNA from 1 species
UACGGGGGGGGCAAGCGUUGUUCGGAAUUACUGGGCGUAAAGGGCUCGUAGGCGGCCAACUAAGUCAGACGUGAAAUCCCUCGGCUUAACCGGGGAACUGCAUCUGAUACUGGAUGGCUUGAGAUUGGGAGAGGGAUGCGGAAUUCCAGGUGUAGCGGUGAAAUGCGUAGAUAUCUGGAGGAACACCGGUGGCGAAGGCGGCAUCCUGGACCAACACUGACGCUGAGGAGCGAAAGCCAGGGGAGCAAUCGGG